rnacentral:ribozyme from 1 species
AGGGCUCAAGGCGUCGUGCGCAUUUGACCCUCCUUGGAACUCCGA